UACAGAGGGUGCGAGCGUUAAUCGGAAUUACUGGGCGUAAAGCGUGCGUAGACGGUUACGUAAGUUAGGUGUGAAAGCCCCGGGCUCAACCUGGGAAUUGCAUUUAAGACUGCGUAGCUAGGGUGCGGAAGAGGGAAGCGGAAUUUCCGGUGUAGCGGUGAAAUGCGUAGAUAUCAGGAGGAACACCGGUGGCGAAGGCGGGUCUCUGGGCCGAUACUGACGCUGAGGCGCGAAAGCUAGGGGAGCGAACGGG
rnacentral:rRNA from 1 species